rnacentral:rRNA from 1 species
AUUGAACGCUAGCGGCAGGCUUAACACAUGCAAGUCGAACGAGCGGCGGACGGGUGAGUAAUAUCUCGGAAAGUGCCCAGUGGCGGGGGAUAACUACUGGAAAGGGUAGCUAAUACCGCAUACCAUUAGAGGGGCCGAGAUGGGAUUAGCUAGUUGGUGGGGUAAUGGCUCACCAAGGCCACGAUCCGUAGCUGGUUUGAGAGGAUGACCAGCCACACUGGGACUGAGACACGGCCCAGACUCCUACGGGAGGCAGCAGUGGGGAAUUUUGCACAAUGGGCGCAACCCUGAUGCAGCCAUCCCGCGUGUGUGAUGAAGGCCUUCGGGUUGUAAAGCACUUUCGGCGGGGAAGCGGUAUCUGCAGAAGAAGCACCGGCUAACUACGUGCCAGCCGCCGCGGUAAUAC